UGCCUUGUCUGUCCUAAAAUC
ensembl:piRNA 21ur-1018 ncRNA